AUGGCGACACCACCCGCGGCGGAGACAACGCAGGAGACCUCGGGAUCGACCAAAACCAGUUCAGCGAGGGAGAAACUCGAGGAAGCUUUGGGGAAGCUAGACAUAUCCGAGGAAGAGGCGACUCCCCUCGUGAUAGAUGAUCGCCUGGAUGGUGCUCCGGCGAAGUGGUUGCUGGCGGGUAAGGUCCUGUAUCGAAACCAGUAUCAUAUCCACACCAUCGGCAAUGCUUUGAGACCGGCUUGGGGAAACCCUAGAGGAUUGCAGUUCCGCUCGACUGGAGCAAACAUGCUUGUCGCUGAAUUUGAGUCUCAGCGAGAUCGUGACAGAGUUUGGGCAGGAUCGCCUUGGCACAUCAACAAGAACACGGUCAUCUUGGCCGAGUUUGAAGAGUGCAUGCGCCCAGAUGAGGUCAAGUUCGAUCGCUUGCAUGUGUGGGCUAGGGUUCUUAACCUACCCUACAAUCUGAGAGAUGAUGCAUGGAGCCCCCCAAUAGCACGUAUGAUUGAUAAGGAGGUUUAG
rnacentral:rRNA from 1 species